rnacentral:rRNA from 1 species
CCUACGGGUGGCAGCAGUGGGGAAUAUUGGACAAUGGGCGAAAGCCUGAUCCAGCCAUGCCGCGUGUGUGAAGAAGGCCUUCGGGUUGUAAAGCACUUUCAGUGGGGAAGAAAGCCUUGGGGCUAAUACCCUCGAGGAAGGACAUCACCCACAGAAGAAGCACCGGCUAACUCCGUGCCAGCAGCCGCGGUAAUACGGAGGGUGCGAGCGUUAAUCGGAAUUACUGGGCGGAAAGCGCGCGUAGGCGGUCUGAUAAGCCGGUUGUGAAAGCCCCGGGCUCAACCUGGGAACGGCAUCCGGAACUGUCAGGCUAGAGUGCAGGAGAGGAAGGUAGAAUUCCCGGUGUAGCAGUGAAAUGCGUAGAGAUCGGGAGGAAUACCAGUGGCGAAGGCGGCCUUCUGGACUGACACUGACGCUGAGGUGCGAAAGCGUGGGUAGCAAACAGGAUUAGAUACCCUAGUAGUC